ensembl:lncRNA
UAGGUCCCGCCCCCUCGCCACCGCGGCGCCACCUGGGAAUUGUAGUCCGCCUUCCGCUCCGUCCCGUCGUGGGACUUUUUGCCCUCCAGUUCCCGGGUCCCUCAGGUGGCCACCCCAGUGGGCACAGGCCCAGGCGCCGCUCCUGCCCCGCGCUCCCUCCCUCUGCCUUUCACUUCCCAGCUGCCAAGAUCUUGGAAGUAAUGUCAUCACGAUUGUAUCUCAUUGCUGUGGGUUCUUGGAGGCUGACAGGCGGAACAAGUUGCUUCAGCUCACAGUUCUCAUCUGUCAUACAGAACAGCUUGCAGAUUCUUAUUAUGUGAAUGAAAUAUGGAGAGAGGGAUAUUUUUCUUCCUGGGCUAUCAAGGUAAUUGAAAGUAACCAUAUCGGGGGACCAGAGGGAAAAUGCAGGAAAAUAGACUGCUUUUGGGAAGGGCAACCCAUUGGCUC